rnacentral:rRNA from 1 species
AUUGAACGCUGGCGGCAGGCUUAACACAUGCAAGUCGAACGGUAACAUAAAGAAGCUUGCUUCUUUGAUGACGAGUGGCGGACGGGUGAGUAAUGCUUGGGAAUCUAGCUUAUGGAGGGGGAUAACUACGGGAAACUGUAGCUAAUACCGCGUAGAAUCGAGAGAUGAAAGUGUGGGACCUUCGGGCCACAUGCCAUAGGAUGAGCCCAAGUGGGAUUAGGUAGUUGGUGAGGUAAAGGCUCACCAAGCCGACGAUCUCUAGCUGGUCUGAGAGGAUGACCAGCCACACUGGGACUGAGACACGGCCCAGACUCCUACGGGAGGCAGCAGUGGGGAAUAUUGCGCAAUGGGGGCAAACCCUGACGCAGCCCUGCCGCGUGAAUGAAGAAGGCCUUCGGGUUG